CCUACGGGAGGCAGCAGUGGGGAAUAUUGCGCAAUGGGGGAAACCCUGACGCAGCAACGCCGCGUGUGUGAUGAAGGCCUUCGGGUCGUAAAGCACUGUGAGGUGGAACGAGCCGCCGGGGGUUAACACCCUUCGGCCCGACGGUACCACCAGAGGAAGCACCGGCUAACCCUGUGCCAGCAGCCGCGGUAAUACAGGGGGUGCAAGCGUUGUUCGGAAUUAUUGGGCGUAAAGCGCGUGUAGGCGGACCACUAAGUCUGGUGUGAAAUCCCUCGGCUUA
rnacentral:rRNA from 1 species